CGCUCUCUGUAAUAAUAUAAUUAAGAUGGAGAGUCGGACCUGCCCAGUGACNUAGGUUAAACGGCCGCGGUACUCUGACCGUGCAAAGGUAGCAUAAUCAUUUGCCUUUUAAUUGGGGGCUUGUAUGAACGGUUUGACGAGAGCUAAGCUGUCUCUUUUUAAAUAUUUAGAAAUUAAUUUAUAGGUGAAGAAGCCUAUAUAUAUUUGAGGGACAAGAAGACCCUGUUGAGUUUGAGUGUAAUUGAAAAUGAAUUAUUGUUUAUGGCUAUUAUGUCGUUAGUGAUAAGGGGUUGUAUAUAUAUAGAUUAGGUUUUUCUUUAAUCUUUAGUUGGGGCGACUGAGGAGCAUAAAAAGCUUCCUUUAACAAAUUAUGGCUAGCGGGUUAAUUUGAUCCAAUUUUUAUUGAUCAAAGGAAAAAAUUACCACAGGGAUAACANCGUAAUUUUUUUGGAGAGUUCUUAUCGAAGAAAGGGUUUGCGACCUCGAUGUUGGACUAAGAUNUCCUAGGGGUGUAGAAGCUUCUNANGGUUGGUCUGUUCGACNAUUAAAAU
rnacentral:rRNA from 1 species